UUCUGCUCUCUGUAGCCCUCGGAAAAGUGUGGUGUUCUCAAUGUCACCAAGAUUACUGAACAUGGCAAGAAAGUCAGGAAGAAUUGGGCCUCCACCUGGACUGUCCUGCAGGGAUCCUCUUUACUUUUUGCAAAGGGUCAGGGCAGUGGCACCAGCUGGUCGUACUGCCGCAAUGGUUCCUUUCCUGAACUCCUCCUUUCAUUGCUAAGUAACUGGAAGCGUUCGAUUAAGCCCCGGCCCGCAGUGUCCUAUACAAACUGUAGACGCAGCCGGGCUUCCUCUGUAUGUGUCAGCUUCUCUGGACAGAGUGAAUGUGCCCUCGAUGCUGAUCAAGGAACAGUUUUGCCUAGAUUAACAGAUUUGUGAUUUGAUAAACUUCAUUAGAUGGUUUUAAAUAGGCCAUCUAAUUUCUAAAAUUUCUACAAAUUUUAGAAAUUAGUAGUAUUUAAUAUAAGUUCAUUAUUUAAAUAAUUGUAUGAUACAGAUCUGUUUUGAGAUCAGCUGAGCAGGGCAGCUUGUCUCCCAUUUUAUUUGUGCACGUCCUACUUUCUGCCUGCGCGCCACAUUUAUCGGCCCCUGCUCUGUGCUUGAAGUUCCUCCAGCAAGAGAGGGUGAAUUUUAAACUUUUACAAUGUCAAAUAACCAGAGAUAGUAAAUGAAAAUGGAUGCACUAAGAACCUUAUGUUUGCUGGCAUGCAUUUCUGCAUAUUCCGACUAAUUUAUUUUAUGGUGUGUGAAUGUGUAAACAUCUGUAUUAUCACAACAUACAAAAAGAAGCUUAGCAUUGUGCAAAGCAAAAUGUGGGAAUGCUCUUUGCAAACCUAGGCCAUAAAUUAUAAGACAGUGUUGCGUGUGCAUUUAAUAUUCAAGUCUAACCUAUUAUUGCACAUUUGGCACCCAGAACUAAUUGACACGUAAAAUGCUUUUGACCCAGGAACUCACUAUAUGAGCUAUCACUAUAGCUCGUGUUUAACAGCACUGAACUAAAGAGAAUCCUUAAAUAACUCCCGAUGAUUUACUUAGAGAGUGACAGGAUUUAAACUGAGUUGUUCAAUUCA